rnacentral:rRNA from 1 species
CUACGGGACGCAGCAGUGGGGAAUUUUGCGCAAUGGGCGAAAGCCUGACGCAGCAAUACCGCGUGAGUGAAGAAGGCCUUUGGGUCGUAAAGCUCUUUUCUGGGGGAAGAUAGUGACGGUACCCCAGGAAUAAGCACCGGCUAACUCCGUGCCAGCAGCCGCGGUAAUACGGAGGGUGCAAGCGUUGUUCGGAUUUACUGGGCGUAAAGGGCACGUAGGCGGCACAGCAAGUUAAGGGUGAAAUCCCGGGGCUCAACUCCGGAACUGCUCUUAAAACUGCUGAGCUAGAGAUGGUCAGAGGCGGGUAGAAUUCCUGGUGUAGAGGUGAAAUUCGUAGAUAUCAGGAGGAAUACCGGUGGCGAAGGCGGCCCGCUGGGGCCAUUCUGACGCUAAGGUGCGAAAGCGUGGGGAGCGAACGGGAUUAGAUACCCCGGUAGUC